GAUCCUGGCUUAGAACGAACGCUGGCAGCGUGGAUUAGGCAUGCAAGUCGAACGGGAUCCGGAAGGUAGCAAUACCGGCCGGUGAGAGUGGCGGACUGGGGAGGAGCACGUGGCAACCUGCCCUGGAGAUGGGGAAAACCUCUGGAAACGGAGGCUAAUACCGAAUGUGGCGCCGGGAGGCAUCUUCCGAGCGCCGAAGGGGGCCGCAAGGCUUCCGCUCCGGGAUGGGCCCGCGCACCAUCAGCUAGUUGGCGGGGUAGAGGCCCACCAAGGCGUACGGUUAGCUGGUCUGAGAGGAUGGCCAGCCCCACUGGGACUGAGAUACUGCCCAGACUCCUACGGGAGGCUGCAGUCGAGGAUCAUUCGCAAUGGGCGAAAGCCUGACGAUGCGAACCGCUGCGUGGAGGACGAAGGCCCUCGGGUCGUAAACUCCUGUCAUGGGGGAAGAGGCGGAGCGGGCGAACACCCCGCCGAGUUGACGGUACCCCAAGAGGAACGGGCGGCUAACUCUGUGCCAGCCGCCGC
rnacentral:rRNA from 1 species